AGCUUUCUUUUUAGGAAGAAGGAAAAGAAACAGCAUGUGGCCAGGCGGCUGCUGAAUUUCCCGGAGCAAACAGGACGUGGGGGGGGGGAAGA